rnacentral:tRNA from 1 species
GCGCUUGAGCCGAUUCCGGGUCGGUCUACGGAACCGAAGGUCACAGGUUCGAAUCCUGUCGGGCGCG